CCUAAUGAGUUAAAUUUUUUGACU
rnacentral:siRNA from 1 species